rnacentral:rRNA from 1 species
UACAGAGGUCUCAAGCGUUGUUCGGAUUCAUUGGGCGUAAAGGGUGCGUAGGUGGCGCCGUAAGUCGGGUGUGAAAUUUCGGAGCUUAACUCCGAAACUGCAUUCGAUACUGCGGUGCUUGAGGACUGGAGAGGAGACUGGAAUUCAUGGUGUAGCAGUGAAAUGCGUAGAGAUCAUGAAGAAGACCAGUGGCGAAGGCGGGUCUCUGGACAGUUCCUGACACUGAGGCACGAAGGCCAGGGGAGCAAACGGG